UUGUGCCAAGCAGCCGCGGUAAUUCCAGCUCCAAUAGCGUAUAUUAAAGUUGCUGCGGUAAAAAAGCUCGUAGUUGGAUUUCUGUUGAAGACGUCCGGUCCAUACCACGUAUGCGCAUCUGGCUCGGCUUCGGCAUCCUCUCGAAAGACGUUUCUGCGCUUGAUUGCGUGGAGCGGAUCUCGGGACUUUUACUUUGAGGAAAUUAGAGUGUUCACGGCAGGCUAUCGCCAGAAUACAUUAGCAUGGAAUAAUACUAUAGGAUCUCGGUUCUAUUUUGUUGGUUUCUAGAAUUGAGAUAAUGAUUAAUAGGGACAAUUGGGGGCAUUCGUAUCAACACGUUAGAGGUGAAAUUCUUGGAUCGUGUUGCGACGAACUACUGCGAAAGCAUUUGCCAAGGAUGUUUUCAUUGAUCAAGAACGAAAGUAAGGGGAUCGAAGACGAUUAGAUACCGUCGUAGUCUUUACCAUAAACUAUGCCAACUAGAGAUGGGACAUCGUUCACUUAAGACUUGUUCCGCACCUUAUGAGAUAUCAAAGUCUUUGGGUUCCGGGGGGAGUAUGGUCGCAAGUCUGAAACUUAAAGGAAUUGACGGAAGGGCACCACCAGGAGUGGAGCCUGCGGCUUAAUUUGACUCAACACGGGGAAACUCACCAGGUCCAGACAUAAUAAGGAUUGACAGAUUGAUAGCUCUUUCUUGAUUUUAUGGGUGGUGGUGCAUGGCCGUUCUUAGUUCGUGGAGUGAUUUGUCUGCUUAAUUGCGUUAACGAACGAGACCUUAACCUGCUAAAUAGGAGCGCCUAUCUCCGGAUAAGCGCCUUUCUUCUUAGAGGGACUUUAUGCGUUUCAGCAUGAGGAAGUUUGAGGCUAAAACAGGUCUGUGAUGC
rnacentral:rRNA from 1 species